rnacentral:sRNA from 1 species
GGUCUUCCCACAGCUCCCACUAGCCAGCAUCUGUCAAAACUGAGGGACAGACUCCUGUGCAAGUCAAGGGAAAGUUGACUUUGAUGUCACUGGGCCUCAUGCCCCUAUUCUGGCUAUGGCUGGGGGACACGUGGAGUUACAGUGCCAGCUGUUCCCCAAUAUCAGUGCCGAGGACAUGGAGCUGAGGUGGUACAGGUGCCAGCCCUCCCUAGCUGUGCACAUGCAUGAGAGAGGGAUGGACAUGGAUGGAGAGCAAAAGUGGCAGUACAGAGGAAGGACCACCUUCAUGAGUGACCAGGUGGCCAGGGGCAAGGCCAUGGUGAGGAGUCACAGGGUCACCACCUUUGACAACGGGACAUACUGCUGCCGCUUCAAGGAUGGUGUAAAGUUCGGCGAGGCCACUGUGCAGGUGCAGGUGGCAGGGCUGGGCACGGAGCCCAGAAUCCAGGUGACAGACCAGCAGGAUGGAGUCAGGGCGGAGUGCACAUCAGCAGGCUAUUUCCCCAAGUCCUGGGUGGAACGGAGAGACUUCAGGGGCCAGGCUAGGCCUGCUGUGACCAAUCUA